GACACAUGUUGACAUUAAUUAUUAGUGGAAAAUAGUUGUGUUUCGAAGUAGCCCAAAUAUAUUUUUUAACUGGCUUCUCCAAUAUAGACUAUUACAGGUGGGAAAAAAAUCAAUACAGCUUAGUAUCGCAAUAUUUUGUGUAGAAAUAUUAUAUCAAUACUUGGUAGCAUUUUUUUAUUAUAAAAGUUAUUAAUAUUACAGUACAACUUAAACUUUUAGUAGCCUACCAGAAUGAUAAAAUAAACUGCUUUUUCAGAUUAAUUUUGCUGCAAUAAAAAUGACUGAAGUGAGAUGAACAAACUAAAAACUUUAUUUCACUAGAUAAAACAGAUGUUGACAAAGCUCUUCUUUGAGGACAUCAUUUUCAGUUAAAAAUAGGUAAUAAACGGCAAGAUAUAACAAUAGACGUUUCUGCAUUUGUCAACAUAUUGCUAAACCUUUAAAACCGCAAUGAUAUUGUAACAUGACUUAAGUAUCCUAUUGUAUCGUAGGGCCUCUAGUGAUUCCCAUCCCUACUAUAUAUUGUGUUGAACAAAAACAAGUGGAAGCUAAGUGCACAGUGGAUAUAUAGGUAAAUGCCUUUAAUUUUUGGGAAAGCUUAUCCAGGGUGUCUGCAGGUAUCAGAGAGCUUUAAUGCUUUUAAAGACCUGAUCAAUACACCUUUUAACCAAAGUUAGGACAUAUUUUUGGACAAAUCAUGGUUUACUUAUUGAAGUAUCGCAGGUAAGCAUUGCAAGCAAGUAGUAAAGAUGUGGUCUUUGGCAGAGGUUAGUGUUAUGUAGAAAUAUGGUUAUCAUAGUGAGUAAAGUCAAUCUACAUUUGCCAACAGGUAAGUGCAAGUAUGAAGUAAAAUGACAGUAUAAUAGUUUUUGUUUUUUUGUUUUUUAAAUUAACAUUAGAAAUGUGGACUUUUACAUAGAAAAGCUUCAGUCAUUUUCACCAAAAGAAAUUAAAAAAUUGGUAAAUUAGAUAAAAAUGUCUAAAGUAGUUCAGACCUCACAAAUUCAAACUUAAGACUAUUUAAUGACUUUGAAGGCCUUAAUGUUGUAACACUGAAUUUAAGACAUUUUAAGACUUUUUAAGGACCUGCACCCUGUAAUCACCUGUUAAGAUUGCUAUAAAUCUCUAUGAAACAGCCUGACGCUAUUUUGGUAUUCAUACAAUACUAGCCUUUAUAGAGUUUGUGCAUUUUAUUUGAUAUUUAUAUGGCUUUAAUAUUGUAAUGCAUAAAACAUUACAUUUUUAAAAUUAUAUUUCCAGUAGAUUUUUUGCUGGACUGCAGCAACUUUAAAUGAGCAUAAUGUUGCAGUACAGCUUCCAACCGACAGCGGCAGCACUGAGGUCAUUCAGCACAGGUGAGCAAGGGAGAAAAUGGCGUCGAGCGCCAUUAUUGAUUUCACUGCGGUCGCAAACACUUCAGUGGGAAUUAGCUGAGGUUUCGUCACAUUGUACUAACCUGGUACAUACUUUCUCCUCCUGAUAUAUCAUUAAGAAGUCCAGCUUGCCUCGACUGACUUCCCGUUUUCUUCCGUCGAAGUAUUUAAUGUGCACAGGAAGCUUAAACAGGUUGGUGACUUCAACGGUCCUGAUUAGGACGAUGUUAGCUAACUUUUAACAGGUGUUUCUUCCCUUUAGAGAUGCCUCAUAAAGUAGAGCAAAGUAUCUGCUUUAUGGCCACAUUUGGUGCUUAGAGAUAUACUUACAUUUUGUAAGGUACACCUGUCUAACUGGGGGUCAGCUUAGUUGAAAAAUAUCGACGUUUAUCUCCAUCCGUUCAGAGUGACGACGAAGUUUGUUACCUCGUCAAAUGAUGCUAGUGUUUAGGUUACCGUUACCCUCCGCCUACUGAAGUCAGAGCACAUCUCCAAUGUCUUAAAAUGUGUCUUUGUAUGAGUUAACCAGCGUUGACAAUGCUGCUAAAGAUACACUUGUUCCCUGUCUUACUGGGGUUCGCGUUAGCUUAACGUUAGAUAAUAAUAUCGACGUUUAUCUCCAUCCGUUCAGAGUGAUUAGCCCUGGUGUUACGACGAAGUCUGUUCCCUGGUGGAAUGACGCUAACGCUAGUGUUUAGGUUACCGUUAGCCACCGCCUGAAGACGUAAAAACACAUCUCCCAUGACGCAACAUUUGUCUUGUUUUGUCCUGUUCGUAUAAUAUAUUUUGUUUGAUAGCAGCCACGUACACAUCCAAGAAGCAAAUAGGCUUUGUUUAGAGUUUGUUAAGUUGGUAAACUCAGUGACUUCACUGUGAGGACAGGUGCUCUGAGGGGCAGCCUGCGUUGACAGGUGCUGCUGUUUGGCUAGCUCUAACAAGCUAACUGCUCAUUAAACAACAACGUUUUCGCAACCUGCUAUAUUUUUACACAUACUAUAUUAAUACGAUACCUGUUCGGUAAGAAGCAAAAAUAACCUUUUGUUAAUGGUGCAAGUCAUGUUUUCUGUCUCACAGAAAGUAGAGUUUCCCUGCACUGACAGUGCCACUAAAUGGUUUCUUGUUAUUAGCAUACAGUUGCAUCUUCGUUUAUUUCCUUGUUUAACCAAAUGCAUGUAUCUCCACAUUCUUAAUCCUCUUUCAUUUCUGUCCUCUCCUAAUAACAGAGGCAGGAGCUGAUGAUGUUAUACCUCCAGCUUCCCACUCUGACCGGAGAGCAGCCAGCCACAGCCCGUGACUUCAUCCAGCCCAUAAACUGCUGCCGCUGUGAUUGCUGAAGGCCCAGGCCACUAACGGGCAGCUGGGACGCCAUGUGUUUGAACAGCCCCCAGAUCUUCUACAUGUAUCUCCGACCAGCACCCAGCAGAUGAAUGCAGAGACCACCAGUGAACCAAUCAUUUUUUUAUUUUCCUCUUUUUAUGGCCGAGACCACAGCCUUACUGCUGUAGGUCGAACUAAAUGGAAAGUAUCAGUUAAAUGAAAACAGUCUCAGAAAAGUCACUCAAUAGGAAUUAUCAGCCGAGUAUUGUUCUUGUUUCCUGUCUCUUUAUGGGUAUCAUUUAGAUGAUCACAUGUUCACAUCUCUACAGUAAUAUAGAUAUACUGUGGAUUUGCUUCAUUUAAAAUAAAGAUUCUGAAGUCUCUUCGCUCACUGUUAAUCAGAGACCGACUUCAAACAUUAACCCCAAACUUUGAACAUUUCACGGAAUUUUUUCCUGCUUGAAUACAAAUGCUUAACUCAGUUUUCUGUGCAGGUACAAAACUGAAGUCAGUGUCCUAAAUUCAGAAACACUUUUCACUCUAGAAUUGCAGUUUAAGAGUCUUUAGUAGAAGUGUGUUAAAGUUUACUUUUCUAAAACUGCUUCUCAUUAACUCUCCCCCUCAAGCUCACAGCCCAGAACAUUAGUGGUGAGGAGGGCGGACUUGCAAGCUUGUUUUCACGCCUGCAUCUAUUAGAGAAGAACCAAAAGCAUCGAAGUAAGAAUUAAGAUGUAAGGUGAAGAGUGGAAGAAAAACCAGUCGGGAUUUAUUUGCCGUCUAGCCAUAAAAUGGAUGUAAAACCUGCUGGCACUUGGAAGUUGUUUUCAGGGAGGAUGAAUCAGCUGCAAUCGGAGUUCCUAAAACUUUGAUGUGAAUUAUAUUCAUCUCAGUAUACUGAUUUGCUAUGAUUAGAAUAACAACAGACAGAACACGAAAGAACUUGAUAAAAGUGCAUCAUUAUAGCAGCACAGGGAUAUCGAAAGCAAAAAUAUAAUACAAAAUUAUAAUAAUGAAAGCAGGAUGUCAAUAAAUCAUGUGAUAAGCUGUAGGAUGAGACACAUUUGAAAAGCAGAGACAGAUGCUCGUUACACUCCGCUAUCUGAGCAUGAAAAGGUUGGCAUACGUAAAAAAUGAAUAAAAAUGUA